GGCAGCGUUUGUGUGCUGUUUGCGUCUCAAGAAAGACAGAACACUAUUAAUUUUUUUGCUUCAUGAACUCAGUUGCCGGCGUUGGCUCAGUGUAUUCUGGCGAGAAGACAUUUGUCUCGCUUUCGAAGAUAGUUCUCCUGCAGUUAAUUCCUGGCCGUACUUCUUCCUGGGGUACGCUCAUUGUCCCUUCAGCUUGAGCAAGUUCAGGACGACGUGAAAGAGAUUUCCUAUCUUCCCAGAUUUGCGAAGCACACCUCGAGUCAGGGUAAGCGAGAGCGAUAUAGGUUAGUUCAGUUGAGAUUUCAGUUAGCGUGGCGUUAGCACGAACCUAUGUUGGACUGAAUCAGUGAUUGUUUUGGUUUUGUUUACCCGUGAGUACGGUCGUUCAUGUUUGCGCGAGGUAAUUUAGUUAUUGAGUGUAGAAUGAACACGUGGAAUCCUGAAAAUUUGAACGCCAAAAUGACGCGGAAAAAAACUUCUAAACACCAGUAGGGAUUCCAAGAUAUAAUUCAAAUUCAUAAUUCAAGCUAGCCUGUUCUUGGACAAUGUCACCCAGGUAAUAAGAAAUCCAAUGGUACCAAUUUUUUUAUCAAAAUCGGUCCAGGCAUUCGAAAGUUAUAGCCAUUUUUCUCUGGCGAUCAAACGUGAAAUCGGCUCAAAACAUGGUCAAACUACUGCAUACCCGCCACCUACUGUCGUGGACAUGGAAAUCCGGUCGCACGUCUAGCGGCCCCAGGGCGCUGGCCAUGCAGCCGUAGCACGUUUUAUCAUGCACUGCAUGCUGCUGGUCGCAUCGGAUCAACGUGUGCACUGCAUGCUACGUUCUGUACGCGCUGAGGGCGCCGGCCCGGGUCAAUCGACUGGAUUUCCAUGUCCGCGACAGUAGCAACAUACAUUUUCACACGAAUUAGAUGAAAUUUGGUUUACAGUCAGCCUCUUAUCCUUGCCUUGAGCGGAUGGCAUAUGCACACUUCGAUUUGGCAAACCUACCCCUCUUCUUCACACGGCUUUGGCCGACAAGGACGUCAAGUCACCAGCACGGCUUUGGCCGACAAGGACGUCAAGUCACCAGCACGGCUUUGGCCGACAAGGACGUCAAGUCACCAGCACGGCUUUGGCCAUUGCCGACAAGGAGGGAAAGUCACAAACACGCCAAUGUUGAUGUUGCCGAUGCCGUCUUCUGCAGAGAGCUUGCAAGUUGCGAACCAAAUCCAGAAGACGCUGUCGAUGGGAGCUGGGAUCAGGCUGAUCAUGAUGAGAGAUCUCCGACACCAACCAGUUCGAUCGGUAAUGACGGCAGCUCACUGUUCUCCGCCAGCGCACGAGUCGUACUUCCGAAGUAAAUCCAAGCCGCCGCCUGUUCUCCUUGUUCCUGGCAAACAGGAGAUAGUACAGAAUCGUGUACUACGUCGUGCUCACUAGGCAAAGCGCAAUCCUGGUCUUCGUGCUGCUUGAUACUCGCGACCAGCUGACUGUGCUGCGGGUAACAUCCUGUUGAAAUGCAUUCGAAGCCUUCCGUGGACCACGUUGUACACGUCACAUUGAAGUUAACACGUGAUGUAUCAAGAUCACUUAGGUCGUUCACAAUCGUUUGAUCAUUCAACUGGAAGGUGAAAGCGGAAUGCACUAUCUUCGGAGCGUUCGUCGUCCAAACCUUUUUAUUAGUUGAAGAAUACUUUGAUGCAGGUAAUACAGAGCGCACCGUCACCCUUGACAUCGCUGUCAAGUCUGCAGUCUGAUGAUGAAGAUGAUUGACAGGGCAAAUACGACGACACUACAUACACUUCCAAUUCCAAUAGCUGUUCCAAGCUGCAAGCCUUCCUCUGCAGAAUUAUCAGUCGUUGAAGAAUAUGCGGGUGAGGCAGAGCUCACCGUCACGCUUGACAUCGCUGUCAAGUCUGCAGUCUGCAUCGCUGAUGUUGCUGAUUUAGGCGUUGUGGUGACUGUUGAUGUAGUUGUGUAGGAACCGCAUGUUUUUAGAGCAACAAAAUGGCAAACAAUAAAGAGGAAUUCAGUAGCAGAGGUCGAGCAUCAAGUUACAGUCAACUUGGCUAAUAACGACUGCGGAUUUAACUUCGUGAACAACGACAGAAUUUCCAUGCCCAGAACAAAAGACAGUUCUGGAUAGUGGCCCAGAAGCCUGACCACAUCUUUCGGCCACACGCUGUGGACGCGGAGGGGUUGAUCCUGCUUCAUGUCAAGUGCUGGUGUUGAUGUCCAGGAAGCGUUCAGAUUUGAACUACCACUCGACAUGCGCGGUAUCGUACUACUGGCAUCACGCGAAAUUAGUCGCUGGGAUGUGGGGAACGCUGACCGGACUUGUUGAGCUGUGCAGGAAAAAGGACACAAUAAUGGAAAGAGUGAAGAAUAAAAAAAAAAACUGAUCAGAUUGAGCUGCAAUUUCAAAAUUUUGGACUUCACGGAGAGUUUCAAAGUAUUAGGAAAUUAGGCCACGUGCCUUGUACUGCUCUUCUUCUCUCCGAACGCCAACACUUGCAAAUCAGACACGAAAGAAAGAAAAAACUCAUCAGUCACGCCACCAGGACUCGAACCAGGGAUCCUCACGAGCAAGGUGCCUGGUUCGAGUUCAUAGUCCCAAAUGGGCUGCAGUGCGUGAAAGCGAGAACUGCGAAAACAAGCGUCCUACAUCAGAGCAUCCGGACACAAGUCCAUGAAUGGAAGGUGUACGGGAAGCAUACCAGGUGCACUGCCAGGCGUACAGAAGAACGUCGUAGGGAUGCGGCAUUUAUUUCGAUCAACUUCUCUGCGAUCUCUUCUGUGAUCUUGAUUCGUCGGCCGCCGCAUCGUGAACGACUGCGAGAGAGAUCAGCAAACUGUCAUAACAAUGCAUGGCAAGGCAGGGUUGCCACUUGCUCCGAUUUUUCGGAAAUCGUCCGAUUUUGAUCGCCUGUCGGACAAACCGACCGAUUUUGUUCCCAAAGAGGGACAACCGACUAUUAUAUUUUGAGCGCUUUUUAGUCCAGUUGGCCAUUCUGCACUUCCAGGUCACGUUUGGCCAGUCAUUGUACAUGUACAUGUACCUGUAGGUUUAAAAUGCACGCAUGCUUGCAUGUGUGUGGACAGUUAAAAAUGUGUUCUGGGGCCCCAACAGCAAGCCAUUUUCCUUAAAAAAUAUUCCACGGCGGACAACCCAGGACUCCCGUCACAUUUUUCUCCCUCGAAGUGUGGCAGCCCUGCAAUGAAUCCUGCGCUUUCAAGCCCUCUCGUUCAUAACCGAAUGUUUAUAAUAAUAAUCGACAGGCGAUGGCCUGUCGAGGGGAUCUCCUGAUGCAAAUCAAGCAAAAGAAAUAAACAGUGCGUAUUAUAGAGAUAUGAUAAACUUCUUGGGUAUGAUAACCAACCGAACAAAUCUGUAAUAGUUUCACCUCUACUUUCAAUGCAGCACUAACCCAAGCAAAGUCCUGCAUGUAGAACCAAAGCCGGCACACAUACAGAAAAUACAAUCACACACAUCACACACACACACACACAUGCACGCACGUAUGCAGACAUACGUAUCCCUGGACGCACUCGCACACACACACGUGCACACACACACACACACAUACACAUACACACACAGAGUCUUUCCGCGUUGCGACGCAUUGGCCGAGUCACAGGACAUUGCAUGUUGCACCAAUUGUUGGAAUCCAGCACUCCACGUACCCAGCUAAAUGCAGCCUGACAUCCUUUCGUGUGUGCUGAUUCAUGCGCGCUUGUCCUCAUGUCUGCACAUGUCCAUGUCCGUGUGUGUGUGUGCGCAUGUCCGUGUGUGUGUGUGUGUGUGUGUGUGUGUGCAUGUCCGUGUGUGUGUGUGUGUGCAUGUCCGUGUGUGUGUGUGUGUGUGCAUGUCCGUGUGUGUGUGUGUGAAGCACGGGUUCAUGGUGAACCCCUCCGCGUCCACAGCGUGUGACCAAAAGAUGUGGUCAUGCUUCUAGGCCAGUCUCCAGAACUGUCUCGGUCACUGUCGAAGAAGAACGGUGCCCUGAUCUAGUAUCAGCGCACUUCAAUUACAAACCCAUAGCAGGUUUCAACAGGGCGAUUGGUGCGCAGGUAUCGAUAAGAUGUCAAACGGGAUACGUAUGGAGCAACGGUCUGGCUAUCACCAUCUCUACGUUCCAUAGUGGCGGAGUAUCGCACCCAAGUCCACCAAGAUGUGAAAAAGUCUCUUCUACAAGUCCUGAUAUUGACGUCACAGCAACGCCUCAAUCAGCAACAUCAGCGAUGCAGUCUGCAGACUUGACAGCGAUGUCAAGCGUGACGGUGCGCUCUGCCUCACCUGCAUCAAAGUAUUCUUCAACUACUGAUGAUUCUGCAGAGGAAGGCAUGCAGUCUGCAACAGUUAUUGGCGUUGGGAUUGUAUUCGGUGUCGUGGUAUUUGCCCUGUCAAUCGUCUUCAUCUUUGCAGUGAGGAGGCAUUGCAGGGCCUGGGGCAAGCAUGUCAUAAACUAGGCCACGGUUCUUCUCGCUGACGUGCUCACCUGUACAAGACUUCUUCAUCGUAACUGGAAGGUUUACUGGUAUCGCCAUGCUGCCCUGUGUCUGUGCAUCAUGACUAUCAGCUUACGCACGCGCACACAAACACACACACACACGAACACACACGCGCCUGCCCGCACCCACCCACACGCCCUCGAACACACACACACGCACGCGCACACAUAAACAUGCACGAACACACAUGUGCGCGCACGCGCAUACACUCGCAUGCGGCCACAAACACCCACCCACGCGCGUGUUGCGUGCUAUUCUCCCCACUGUUAAUGUUGCUGUGCAUAAUUGAGCGUCGCAGCUUCCGAAGUACCUGUGCAAAUUCUUCGGCAGGGGAUGCUCAAUCGGCACGUAGUUCGACACACACCUGCAUGCCGCUCUCCUACUGUUUGGUAUCAAAUGCAAAAUCCUUAAAAAAAUGCCCUUUGCUCGUGUAUUAAAUAUUGGUCAUGCCCGCAUUACACAAUUCAUCAUGAUUAGUCUUAGUUAUCACCCGUCCACUUGCAUGCAUCCCUGGUCACCAACUGCUAGCCAACACCCUUCCUCAGCAAAAGAAAAAUAUAGGACAAAUUAGUGUUGUAUUCUCUCCCUCCGCAAUUGAUCCCGUGUCCUUGUUUUUGUUUUUAGCUCUUUCGGUUUUUCGUUAAGCUUUUCAACUUGCUUCUUACAUGCGCUUACCUCAUCUUGCGCAAACAACUGUAGAGUUGGUAUUGCUCGUUUCUUGGGGACAAGUUACCUAGUUUAGCAGGCUGUAUGCAUUUUUUUCUUUAAAAAAAUAAAUGACCGUAUUGUAUGCUUCCAUGCCAUGUUUUGUGACCGAUUCUGAGCAGUCCCUAGUUUCGGUUUCCUUGCAGCUCAAGAAGUACAUGUACUUCCUUUUGCUCUUUUCUUUGUGAUGUACUUUGUAUAGAUCUGCUGCGCCUUUCAUAGUACGAGGCAAGUUGCUGUUUUUGCUAUUCGCUGCAUUGCCAAUUUGCCAUUUUCUUAACCGCUUUAGCGCUAGCAAAGGUGCCGGUGCAUUGUUUUUCAAUUUUAUCAUCAGAUUUUCAAAAUUAUAUAUUUUGUGCAUUGCAGGAAUUCGACCCAACCUUAUGUAACUACUUCUUGAGCC